CAGCAAAACUACUUUCCCCUGAACCCAGCCCUUCGGAAGGAGCCAAGCUGAAUGCUGUGAUAAGGGGGUAGCACAUUCCUCUUACCCAUUCAGGAGCUCAUUAGAACUAAACAGAUUAGCAAAUGGGAAGGUGGGAUGGGAGUGGGGAAGAAAGAUAUGCAAGAAUCACACUAAUACUCACAGAACCUGAGAACAGGACUGCUACGUAUUUCCCUUGACCGGGCUUUUGUGCUAUCAACAGCUCCUCAACAGGGAAGAAUGGGGCUGUGCUCAGAUCUCAAAGUCUGACCUGAAGAUUCAGGGUUUUAGUUGCCUUUUCAGGAUCUCCAGGGGUAGGUCUAACAUCUCAGAGUAAAGGACCACCACCGCAGUGGGGCUGCUUACUUGACUUGGAUGCUUUUACUAUUAGCAGGCUCCGCCCAUAAGUCACAAAGAACAGCCAGAUUUUGCCUUCUGACCCAACCGGUGAUGCACCCCCCCAAAAAAAUGCUCCUACCACAUCCAAGUCUGCUUCCUUGCUCCACCUACUGCCCCCGCCCCCCGAGACCUCAGGAGACCUGGCAGCCUUAAGCAGAAAAAACGACAUUGGAAUCGUUUCCCAUGACAGCAGAAGCUGCACUUUUGGAUUUCUGCUUGCAGAGCUGUUAUUGGAGGCUGGCCAGGAGAGAAAAGGGAAUCCUGAGGGGGGAAAUGACAGUCACCAUCUGUCAAGACUCUGGGAAUCACAACAGCUCUUGCCACCAAGAUUCUGAAACAUGCCACGAGCAUAAAAGCUGCUUAAGGACCUGCUCCCAUCCGGCUGGAGAGUGUGAGGCCUCGGAGUGCUUGCAUUUCUAGCUUGGAAUGUUCCUUAUCUGUGCAUCUGGGCGUCCUGC